rnacentral:piRNA from 1 species
UAAUCAUCAAAUGCCCUUUGAGCAUAGGCUGC